rnacentral:rRNA from 1 species
AACGAACGCUGGCGGCGUGUCUUAAGCAUGCAAGUCGUGCGGCAAGGGGUAGCAAUACCCCCUAGAGCGGCGGACUGGUGAGUAACGCGUGGGUGAUCUGCCCUUGGGUUGGGGAUAGCCAUUAGAAAUAGUGGGUAAUACCGAAUACGUUCGCCGGGCUGUGGCCUGGCGAGGAAAAGCGCUUCGGCGCUGCCCGAGGAUGAGCCCGCGUCCCAUUAGCUAGUUGGUGAGGUAACGGCCCACCAAGGCGAUGAUGGGUAGCCGGCCUGAGAGGGUGUACGGCCACACUGGGACUGAGAUACGGCCCAGACUCCUACGGGAGGCAGCAGCUAAGAAUAUUCCGCAAUGGACGAAAGUCUGACGGAGCGACGCCGCGUGGACGAUGAAGGCCGAAAGGUUGUAAAGUCCUUUUGUCGGGGAAGAAUAACCAUGGGAGGGAAUGCCCGUGGGAUGACAUGAACCGACGAAUAAGCCCCGGCUAACUACGUGCCAGCCGCCGCAGUAA